rnacentral:lncRNA from 1 species
CCGGCGUGGGGCUGCCUGACGAGCGUCCUCCCCGGAGGAUGGAUUGGGGGUCCUCUCCCUCCAUCCUGGCCCACCCUAGCCCAUGGAGCUGGUGGGGGGGCCAGGAGGGAGGCACCUCAGGGGCGCGGCCUCGCUGCUGAAAGCUCUGUGGUUCUCCGAGGACAGGGUGUCCUGGGGAGUUGGUCCACGUUGGCUCAUCCUGGCAGCAUCACAGGCAUUGCCAAACUCUCGGAACCGCCCGUGGGGCUGGGGCCUGCCUGGGGCGCUCUGCUCCUCCUCUGGUGGGUCCGACAAUGCUGGCCUUCCUCCUGGAGCUGGGGGAGGCCGGGCUUGUUCACGUUCCCAGAUGGCAGGGGCCAGUCAGGCCGCCUCCUGGGAGUUACGAGAGGUCAGGGAGGUCAGGGGAUGGGUUCGGCCCAGGGAGCUGGGGUACGGGAGCUCUCACCUGCUACAGGUGCAAAAGGUGUGGCUUUGUUGUUUCUUGGAGGCUGCGGCCAGUGGAUCAACCCUCCCCCAGGCCUGGCCUCGCCCUGGGAGCUGUCCCCCAGGAGCCCUCCUAUUCCAGAGUCAGGAAAGCCUGCCCCUUCCCCACCAGGGCCAGGCCCAGGAUCUAGGCUCUGGACCCCCUGGAAGAGUGCACUAGGUGCAUGGAACCCUCACUGCGGGACAUCCCCCAACCCCCUGCCUGGGGGGCGCAGCAACCCUGGGGACAGCCUGCAGCUCCGUGGCAGCGGCCCUGCCCUCCAACCCCCCAGCUACGUCAUCGGAGCUGUCUGCGCUUGCACCUGGCUUCCCAAGCUAUGAGACACGGCUCCCGGCCUGCCUCCCCACGCCGCUGGCGGCUCACACCCUGUCAUCUGGGGUGGCCGCAGCAUCCUGGGGUGUUCCCCAGAGCCCCUCUCAGCAAGGCGCCCCUGACGGCCCCCAACUACCCCAGUGGGCGGUGGGCCUGGGACCCAGCCCUCUGGAGAAGGGAGACCAGCUGGUGGCCUGUAGGAAAACGGAGCUGCAGUGGACAAAUCCUCCUUCUCCAACUCAGGGACCGAUUCUCCCAGCCUCACCCGGGCUCUGUAAGGGGCUGAGGAGCGGAAAAGGACCAAGAGUGGGUGAGCCUCGACCUGGCCGGGUGCAGGUCUCGGUGUGGCCUGUGAAUGGGAGCGCGGCCUGUGCGGGGCAGAUUCUGGUAAAAAUGUGUGCACAGAUGGGUGUGUAGGGCCUCGGCUUCUGGACAGAGAAUUGGCCUCUCAGGGCCCUGCUCUGAGGAGGAGCCACACCCACUUCCCAGUGCUGUCCUGACUCUCAGGCUGCUGUCGCACCUGUCUGCUGGCCCAGCUCACAGCGUCCUCCGUCUGAGUCUGUCACAGCGACGAUUUUUUUCCUUUUAGCUGUUGAGUCUGUUUUACAUACAGUCAAACGCAGACCUCAAGUGCCUGUACAAUGUGUACACAUCAAGACACAGUGCAGCCCUCCCCACCCCCACUGAUCUGCCCUGUGAACGGUCACCUGCGGGCGCCACCUGUGUCCUAGUCACCUGUGUCCCUCUAGCACUCAGCACUAGGUGCCAGUUCGUACGUGGGAAGCUUUUUCUUGACUAACCUGCCUUCCCUGGACGCAGGGUCCCUCACACUCUCUCCCCCGUGGAGGGGGCCUUGGAUGCCCAGGGUGUGUCCAGAGACAGCCCCACUGAGUCGUCGGGUCCAGGCUGAAUCCGCUCUGUGGUC